GGCGCAGGGCACUGCUCCUCGGUGCAUUGCUGCUCGGGCGCCGCAGCCCGCAGCCGCCUACCUCCCCCGGCCGUGCCCCUCCCCCGUGGAGCCGGCUGUCGGUCGGCGCCCACUGCCCGGCGGCAGCGGCUGAGCCAGGCAGCGCCGCGGCGGCCGAGCGCGCUCGCGCGUCGGGCCCUCUGGCCUUCCUUACCUAGGGCAGCCCGCGCCCCGGUGCGAGGGAGCGGUCCUUACCGAGACCCGCCCGGCCCGGCGGUGCAAUGAGCUUCUUCGGCUUCGGGCAGAGCGUGGAGGUGGAAAUCCUUCUGAACGAUGCGGAGAGUAGGAAGCGGGCCGAGCACAAGACGGAGGAUGGGAAGAAGGAGAAAUAUUUCCUCUUCUACGACGGGGAGACUGUCUCCGGGAAGGUGAGCUUUGCCCUCAAGAACCCCAACAAGCGGCUGGAGCACCAGGGCAUCAAAAUCGUGUUCAUCGGGCAGAUCGAACUCUACUACGAUCCCGGGAACCACCAUGAAUUUGUGUCCCUGGUGAAGGACCUGGCCCGGCCUGCAGAGAUCACCCAGUCGCAGGCCUUCGACUUUGAAUUUACCCACGUGAAGAAGCCGUAUGAGUCCUACACGGGGCAGAAUGUGAAGCUACGUUCCGUCUCCUACAGCUAUUUCCUUCGAGCUACCAUCAGCCGCCGCCUCAAUGAUGUUGUCAAAGAGAUGGACAUUGUAGUUUACACACUCAGCACAUACCCGGAGCUGAACUCUUCCAUCAAGAUGGAGGUUGGGAUCGAGGACUGUCUGCACAUUGAAUUUGAGUACAAUAAAUCCAAAUACCACUUGAAAGAUGUCAUUGUAGGGAAGAUAUACUUCCUGCUGGUGAGAAUCAAAAUCAAGCACAUGGAGAUAGACAUCAUCAAGCAGAAACGACAGGUACAGGCCCCAACGUGUACCACGAGAACGACACGAUAGCCAAGUACGAGAUCAUGGACGGGGCACCAGUUCGAGGAGAGUCCAUCCUGAUCCGGCUCUUCCUGGCAGGGUAUGAGCUCACGCCCACCAUGCGGGACAUCAACAAGAAGUUCUCUGUGCGCUAUUACCUCAACCUGGUGCUGAUAGAGGAGGAGGAGCGGCGCUACUUCAAGCAGCAGGAAGUGGUGUUGUGGCGGAAGGGUGACAUCGUACGGAAGAGCAUGUCCCACCAGGCGGCCAUCGCCUCACAGCGCUUCGAGGGCACCACCUCCCUGGGUGAUGUGCGGACCCCCAGCCAGCUGUCUGACAACAACUGCAGGCAGUAGGCCUCCAGGGCCAAGAAGAUGCUGGGCAUCCACCCAGCACCCCCAUCUACCAACACCAGCGGCUGGGGGCGGGGGCGAACCUUGUGAGGCUCAGUUGACCCGUUACUUGCAACCUGAAAACAAAUCAUGUUUUUGACUUAAA